GUUCUGUAUUUAAAGUGCAAGUCAAGUGCAUAAUACUGCUUUGCACUUGACUUGCAAAUUAUGAGCAGAGAGCCGCCGCCGGGAAUCCACUUCUGUAUGGAGGGUGGAGGAGGAGCGUGGGUGCGUUAUGCCGCAUACUUGCGUAACGUCGACGUGCUCUGUCAUCAGAGGGAGCCGCGGAAGGAUCCAAUUCAGUGAGUGAAGGCGGCACCCGGUGCUCUUCAAUCGGCGGAGACAGCUCAGUCCAGGGAGCAGCAGCCUUUACUGUGAGUGACUUUUUUUUUCUUUUUU